AUUGAACGCUAGCGGCAGGCCUCAAACAUGCAAGUCGAGCGAGCGGCGGCCGGGUGAGUAAUGUAUGGGGACUGCCCGAAAGAGGGGGAUAACUACUGGAAACGGUAGCUAAUAACGAAUACUAUCGGAUAACCCAUAUGGGAUUAGCGAGUAGGUGGGGUAAUGGCUCACCUAGGCGACGAUCCCUAGCUGGCCUGAGAGGAUGUUCAGCCACACUGGGACUGAGACACGGCCCAGACGCCUACGGAGGCAGCAGUGGGGAAUAUUGCACAAUGGGCGCAAGCCUGAUGCAGCCAUGUCGCGUGUGUGAAGAAGGCCCUAGGGUUGUAAAGUACUUUCAGUCGGGAGGCGUUACCGACAGAAGAAGCACCGGCUAACUCCGUGCCAGCAGCCGCGGUAAUUC
rnacentral:rRNA from 1 species